AAUCUGCUCAGUACAAGAGGAACCACAGGUUCAGACAUUUGGUGUGUGUGCUUGGUUGAGGAACCAAUGGGGUAAAGCCACUAUCUGUGGGAUUAUGACUGAACGCCCCAAGUCAGAAUCCC
rnacentral:ncRNA from 1 species